GGCAAGUCGAAGUGUAUACGCAACGUGAUGGCUAAACGGUUCUCGUCAACCAAGUUCGAUGAAGGCAUGAGGCGAGAAAGCACCGAUGCAGUCGCACCGAGGGGGGUAACCGAAGGACGCGAGGAUGUUAAGCACGAGAAACUCAUCUUCACAGAGUCCAAAGUGAAACCGCGAAGUGGGAAAACGCCGACGCAGAAAUGCUGAGCAUGGCAACUGAAAGUUGUGAGGAUACUCCAUACAGGAAACUCAUCUUCACAGAUUUCCCUCCAAAGAACGACUCCAAGGUACCCUCUGCCGAAAUCACCGUGGAUUUGACGUCUCCAUCCCCUGCGGAGGAGACAAAGGAUGACAAGCAGCCGUCAAAGAAAGAAAAAUCUGCCUUCAAUCCGUCGUUUACACCCAAGAUCUUACCUCCAUCUCUGUUGAAAAAGA